UGCCAAAUGCGUGAUCAUAGGGAUCAUAAGUUUGCAGCGUUAAUUUGCCAAUGCCGUCCAAGUGUGAUGUCGACGAUGAAGCCAAUUUUUAGGCCCAUCAUUUCAACUAGCUCCGUAGAUCCUUAAGUUUGGAAGCUUGUGGUGUUCCAAUCAGAAUGUGGUCCUGCUAAGCCAAUGGAGAGCAUCCAACUGUAAGUAUAAGUUUGUGCCGAUUUAGCAUUCUCAUGCUGUUCGCUUUCUACUCAGCUUGAUAGGCAGAUACAGUAAGGAACAUUUGAAUACAUUGGAUGGGGAUCCAACGAUAUUAGACAUUUCAAGUAGGAAAUUGGGCUUUGAUGUCUUCAUGGAUCAGUAGUAUGGUGCAGAGUUAGGAAUGCCUUUUCUUUCUCGAAUGUGAAUAUUUGGAAGAAGACAGUGGUUCAGCUUCAUCAACGAGUAUUAACAUCCCACUAGCAUUUUUUUCUUCUAAUAUCCUCAUUUGCAUGCCACAUACUAUUCUCUAACGAUUGAUGUUUCAUUCAGUAUUACCUAGUUGCAUAUUCCACAAACGAAAUGGUGGAGGGUGCGUUUGGUUUGAGUCUUUGAGCCCAAGUUUGACAUAUCAAAAUUUUGUUUGCCCAUGGGUUGGCUUAUGCUGGCAAGAACAAAUGCACUAGAGGCAAAAGGAGCAUUGGCAUGUUUAAAGUUUGGCAUCCAUCCAAAGUUCCAAACAAAGACCAAUUUUUUGGGCAUGACUGAAAAAUUGGUAGGGUAUAUGUUGGCCACAAUUAAACAUACCCAAAUUGUCUGUAGACAAAACAUAAUAACCAUUGUGUGCUCUUAAAAGAGAAAUAAAAGUGCAUUCGUUUGCAUACUUCAGCUCUUGUCCUGGAAAUUUGCAUAUCAUUAGAGCGAUACUUUGUUGCUCAGGCUGUUCAACCUUUCCUGCCGUUUGUUUUUCAGGACGGCUGAGGAAUUUUGCAGGUCGCCGGAGGUGGACAUCUAUUUUAACUAGGAGAUCAAUCAUAGUGGCACUGUGGUUCUUUUAGGUUUAUAUUCAUACAUCGUUCUGGAUGAAGAUUGCCGGCUUUCCAUGUCACGAACUGGGAAUCUCGCCCAAGUGGGACCGGAAGUCGACACGAAACCCGCUCUGUCUUGGACGUACGAUGGCAAUAGCAAAAGAUAGCACUAUUACAAUUUUUGGGGGGCAUGUUUCUGUAACUAAAUAUAUGAUCGAAUUCUGCGCCAGUUCAUGAUCUGACUUGCUCAUACGCGCAUGAUACUACUUUCACUCAUAGCGUAGUGGAGUAGAAUGAGCAUGUGCGCUGUGUCGUGUCAUGUGGAACUGGCUGGUCUGCUGAAUGUAUGUUUGUUACAGUAAUUCUUUCGGAAUAAGAGGGCGGCCCUUGACUUGAUUCCCAACAGAUUAAUCUAAUGAUGGAAUGAGAGGGCGGCCCUUUGUUGGCACUAGAGUUUUUGAGGGGAUUAUUAGGGAUAAUACCCACAGGGAUUGGGUGAAACCCCUACUCCACCCAAUCCCAUCAAAUCCUCAUUUAUCCCCAAUCCACUAGGGAGGGGUAGUGUAUUGAGUAUUCAGAAAAAUACAUUAGAGUUAGGGGAAUUCUAGGGAAAAGUGGGGAUAAAAUCGGCCAAUACAUUAGAGUUUGGGGAAUUCUAGGGAAAAGUGGGGAUAAAAUCAGCCAAUUGCACUAGAACCAAACGGGCUUUUAUGGAUAGGAGGGGUUUGAGUUUUUUUUAACACAGUAGAGGCGCAAGCCCUCAUAAAUACGCGCAUACAAUCACCUCUAUAAACG
rnacentral:lncRNA from 1 species